rnacentral:tRNA from 1 species
CUAGACAGAUGGGCUUCGAUCCCAUUAAACCCUAGUUAACAGCUAGGUGCCUUACCCUUUAGCUUCUGCCUA